rnacentral:rRNA from 1 species
GGAGUUUGGACCGUGUCUCAGUUCCAAUGUGGGGGACCUUCCUCUCAGAACCCCUACUGAUCGUCGGCUAGGUGGGCCGUUACCCCGCCUACUACCUAAUCAGACGCAUCCCCAUCCAUAAGCGAUAAAUCUUUAUUCCAUCUCAGAUGUCUUUAAUGGAAACCAUAGGGCAUUAAUCUUACUUUCGCAAGGCUAUUCCCUACUUAUGGGCAGGUUGGAUACGCGAUACUCACCCGUGCGCCGGUCGCCGGCAAGAAUAGCAAGCUACUCUCCCGAUGCCCCUCGACUUGCAUGUGUUAAGCCUGUAGCUAGCGUUCAUC